rnacentral:rRNA from 1 species
UACGUAGGGUGCGAGCGUUGCCCGGAUUUAUUGGGCGUAAAGGGCGCGUAGGCGGCUACGCACGUCCGUUGUGAAAUCGCUCGGCUCAACUGGGCGGGGUCAGCGGAUACGGUGUAGCUGGAGCAAGCUAGGGGGCAAUGGAAUUCCCGGUGUAGUGGUGGAAUGCGUAGAUAUUGGGAGGAACACCAGUGGCGAAGGCGGCUCACUGGACCGGUACUGACGCUGAGGAGCGAAAGCGUGGGGAGCGAACAGG